rnacentral:rRNA from 1 species
UACGGGGGGAGCAAGCGUUGUUCGGAUUUACUGGGCGUAAAGGGCGCGUAGGCGGCCACCGCAAGUCGACUGUGAAAUCUCCGGGCUUAACCCGGAAAGGUCAGCCGAUACUGCGGGGCUAGAGUGCAGAAGGGGCAACUGGAAUUCUCGGUGUAGCGGUGAAAUGCGUAGAUAUCGGGAGGAACACCAGUGGCGAAGGCGAGUCUCUGGGCUGUAUCUGACGCUGAUGCGCGAAAGCUAGGGGAGCAAACGGG